GACGUGGCGACGUGGGCGGUUCAACGCCUGCAACGUCGUGAGAAGUCCACUGAACCUUAUCAUUUAGAGGAAGGAGAAGUCGUAACAAGGUUUCCGUAGGUGAACCUGCGGAAGGAUCAUUGUCGAAACCUGCCCAGCAGAACGACCCGCGAACACGUUAACAAACACAGCGGCGCCGCAGCAAGCUGCGACCCCGUGGGGCUGGGCGACGGUUCUUGCCGCCGCUCCCGCCCCGAGUACAAACCCCGGCGCGAGUUGCGCCAAGGAACUCAAACAGAAAGUGCGCAACGCCUAGCCCCGGAAACGGUGUGCUGGGAUUGCGACCUUCCUAUACGAAAUCGAAACGACUCUCGGCAACGGAUAUCUCGGCUCUCGCAUCGAUGAAGAACGUAGCGAAAUGCGAUACUUGGUGUGAAUUGCAGAAUCCCGUGAACCAUCGAGUCUUUGAACGCAAGUUGCGCCCCGAAGCCUCCCGGCCCGAGGGCACGUCUGCCUGGGUGUCACGCAUCGUCGCCCGAAACCCCUCCGGGGUGAACGGCGGAUACUGGCCUCCCGUUAGCCACGGCUCGCGGCUGGCCUAAAAACGAGUCCCCGGCGAGCGUUGCCACGACGAUCGGUGGUUGAAAGACCCUUGGAUUUCUGUCGUGCGCCCGCUCGACCGCAGCAGGGAUUUAGAACCCGACGAGCGUCGCGCUCCGAAAGCGACCCCAGGUCAGGCGGGACUACCCGCUGAGUUUAAGCAUAUCAAUAAUGCAGGAAAAGUAACGUACCAGGAUUCCGGUA
rnacentral:rRNA from 1 species